rnacentral:rRNA from 1 species
UACAGAGGGUGCGAGCGUUGUCCGGAAUCACUGGGCGUAAAGGGCGCGUAGGUGGCGUCGCAAGUCGAUGGUGAAAGCUCGUCGCUCAACGACGAGUCGGCCAUUGAUACUGCGAGGCUGGAGCACUGUAGAGGCAGAUGGAAUUCCGGGUGUAGCGGUGGAAUGCGUAGAGAUCCGGAAGAACACCGGUGGCGAAGGCGGUCUGCUGGGCAGUUGCUGACACUGGAGGCGC